UACGUAGGUGGCAAGCGUUGUCCGGAAUUACUGGGUGUAAAGGGAGCGUAGGCGGGAAUGCAAGUCAAGUGUUAAAUCUAUCGGCUCAACUGAUAGUCGCGCUUGAAACUGUAUUUCUUGAGUGAAGUAGAGGCAGGCGGAAUUCCUAGUGUAGCGGUGAAAUGCGUAGAUAUUAGGAGGAACACCAGUGGCGAAGGCGGCCUGCUGGGCUUUUACUGACGCUGAGGCUCGAAAGCGUGGGUAGCAAACAG
rnacentral:rRNA from 1 species